rnacentral:rRNA from 1 species
AACGAACGCUGGCGGCAUGCCUAACACAUGCAAGUCGAACGAAGGCUUCGGCCUUAGUGGCGCACGGGUGCGUAACGCGUGGGAAUCUGCCCUUUGGUUCGGAAUAACAGCUGGAAACGGCUGCUAAUACCGGAUGAUGACGAAAGUCCAAAGAUUUAUCGCCAGAGGAUGAGCCCGCGUUGGAUUAGGUAGUUGGUGGGGUAAAGGCCUACCAAGCCGACGAUCCAUAGCUGGUCUGAGAGGAUGAUCAGCCACACUGGGACUGAGACACGGCCCAGACUCCUACGGGAGGCAGCAGUGGGGAAUAGUGGACAGUGGGCGCAAGCCUGAUCCAGCAAUGCCGCGUGAGUGAUGAAGGCCCUAGGGUUGUAAAGCUCUUUUACCCGGGAAGAUAAUGACUGUACCGGGAGAAUAAGCCCCGGCUAACUCCGUG